CAGUAGCCGCGGUAACACGGAGGGAGCUAGCGUUGUUCGGAAUUACUGGGCGUAAAGCGCGCGUAGGCGGUUACUCAAGUCAGAGGUGAAAGCCCGGGGCUCAACCCCGGAACUGCCUUUGAAACUAGGUGACUAGAAUCUUGGAGAGGUCAGUGGAGUUCCGAGUGUAGAGGUGAAAUUCGUAGAUAUUCGGAAGAACACCAGUGGCGAAGGCGACUGACUGGACAAGUAUUGACGCUGAGGUGCGAAAGCGUGGGGAGCAAACAGGAUUAGAUACCCGAGUAGUCCCUGUCUCUUAUAC
rnacentral:rRNA from 1 species